AUUGAACGCUGGCGGAUUGCUUUACACAUGCAAGUCGAACGGCAGCACGGACUUCGGUCUGGUGGCGAGUGGCGAACGGGUGAGUAAUGUAUCGGAACGUGCCCAGUCGUGGGGGAUAACGUAGUGAAAAUUACGCUAAUACCGCAUACGAUCUAGGGAUGAAAGCGGGGGAUCGCAAGACCUCGCGCGAUUGGAGCGGCCGAUAUCAGAUUAGGUAGUCGGUGGGGUAAAGGCCCACCAAGCAAACGAUCUGUAGCUGGUCUGAGAGGACGACCAGCCACACUGGAACUGAGACACGGUCCAGACUCCUACGGGAGGCAGCAGUGGGGAAUUUUGGACAAUGGGCGAAAGCCUGAUCCAGCCAUUCCGCGUGCAGGAUGAAGGCCCUCGGGUUGUAAACUGCUUUUGUACAGAACGAAAAGGUUUCUACUAAUACUAGGAGCUCAUGACGGUACUGUAAGAAUAAGCACCGGCUAACUACGUGCCAGCCGCCGCCGUAA
rnacentral:rRNA from 1 species